rnacentral:rRNA from 1 species
GACGAACGCUGGCGGCGUGCUUAACACAUGCAAGUCGAACGGAAAGGCCCUGCUUUUGUGGGGUGCUCGAGUGGCGAACGGGUGAGUAACACGUGAGUAACCUGCCCUUGACUUUGGGAUAACUUCAGGAAACUGGGGCUAAUACCGGAUAGGAGCUCCUGCUGCAUGGUGGGGGUUGGAAAGUUUCGGCGGUUGGGGAUGGACUCGCGGCCUAUAAGCUUGUUGGUGGGGUAGUGGCUUACCAAGGCUUUGACGGGUAGCCGGCCUGAGAGGGUGACCGGCCACAUUGGGACUGAGAUACGGCCCAGACUCCUACGGGAGGCAGCAGUGGGGAAUAUUGCACAAUGGGCGGAAGCCUGAUGCAGCAACGCCGCGUGCGGGAUGACGGCCUUCGGGUUGUAAACCGCUUUCGCCUGUGACGAAGCGUGAGUGACGGUAAUGGGUAAAGAAGCACCGGCUAACUACGUG